rnacentral:rRNA from 1 species
UACGGAGGGGGCUAGCGUUGUUCGGAAUUACUGGGCGUAAAGCGCACGCAGGCGGCUUUGUAAGUUAGAGGUGAAAGCCCGGGGCUCAACUCCGGAAUUGCCUUUAAGACUGCAUCGCUAGAAUUGUGGAGAGGUAAGUGGAAUUCCGAGUGUAGAGGUGAAAUUCGUAGAUAUUCGGAAGAACACCAGUGGCGAAGGCGGCUCACUGGCCCGAUACUGACGCUGAGGCACGAAAGCGUGGGGAGCAAACAGG